UACGUAGGUGGCAAGCGUUGUCCGGAAUUAUUGGGCGUAAAGCGCGCGCAGGCGGUCCUUUAAGUCUGAUGUGAAAGCCCACGGCUCAACCGUGGAGGGUCAUUGGAAACUGGGGGACUUGAGUACAGAAGAGGAAAGCGGAAUUCCACGUGUAGCGGUGAAAUGCGUAGAUAUCUGGAGGAACACCGGUGGCGAAGGCGGCGUUCUGGACUGCAACUGACACUGAGGAACGAAAGCCAGGGGAGCAAACGGG
rnacentral:rRNA from 1 species